rnacentral:rRNA from 1 species
GACGAACCACACGAACGUUAUUCGGAAUUACUGGGCUUAAAGGGUGCGUAGGCGGCGCAGAAAGUUGGGUGUGAAAUCCCUCGGCUCAACCGAGGAACUGCGCCCAAAACUACUGUGCUUGAGGAAGAUAGAGGUAAGCGGAACUUACGGUGGAGCGGUGAAAUGCGUUGAUAUCGGUGGGAACGCCAGUGGCGAAAGCGGCAAACUUGACCCUUCCUGACGCUGAGGCGCGAAAGCGUGGGGAGCAAACAGG